rnacentral:lncRNA from 1 species
GCGGACUUUGGAAAUUUAUAUGAUUUACAUAGAAAUAGUUCACUGGAAAUAUAUUUACUUACUCAAUUAAGGAAUUUUUGAUGGCUACAUCCUCCACUCACUCUGAAAGAUUUUCCUUCCAAAAGAUAGUCAUGAAGUUAUCAGGGGGAGUGUCCAGAAGUAUGCUACACGGAUUAAUGUACUCUUCUUUCUUCCAUCAGUUUUCUACCUCACUGGGUUUUUCUCCUAGCAAGAUUUUAUUGAGGCAACAAUAUGUUACAUGGUGGUCUCCAAAGGGGAGUGUUAUAAAGAAAGGAAGUGGAGCCCACCAAUGAAGACUGGAGAUGCAUUGUCUGCCAAUUCCUCUGCACAUUCACAUGUUGGAGACUGCACAUCCAUGGGAAACUAUCAACUUUGCCUAUAAAAAGGCUUCAUCCUUCCCUUGCAUUAGACCCC